rnacentral:tRNA from 1 species
CAGAAAAUAGUUUAUUAAAAAUUAUAAUUUUGGAAAUUAUAGAUAAUCUUUAUGAUUUUUUCUGA